CGGCGGUGGCGUCGAAGGCUUACGGGCGUGAGCCCGGCUGGAGCCGCCGUCGGUGCAGAUCUUGGUGGUAGUAGCAAAUACUCAAGCGAGAACCUUGAGGACUGAAGUGGAGAAGGGUUCCAUGUGAACAGCAGUUGAACAUGGGUCAGUCGACCCUAAGGCAUCGGCGAAAGCCGUUCAGAAGCGGUGUAGAUUGCGGCACUUGUUGCCGUAGGUCUGUGUUGUGCUCUCGGGUGUGACAUACGAUCACUGCACCUGCCGAAAGGGAAUCGGGUUAAUAUUCCCGAACUCGGCAUCGGAUAUUGCCUCGGUCGGUUCGCCGGCAGAGGACAUGCGGUAACGCAAAUGAACUCGGAGACGCUAACACGUGCCCUGGGAAGAGUUGUCUUUUCUUCAUAAGGCGCAGGCUCCCUGGAAUCGAAUCACUCGGCGAUAGGGAGAUGGCGUCCGUAGAGCACCGCGGUUCUUGCGGUGUCCGGUGCGCACGUGUUGGUCCUUGAAAAUCCGAGGGAGAGUGUGAUUUUCGUGCCGAAUCGUACCCAUAUCCGCAGCAGUCUCC
rnacentral:rRNA from 1 species